rnacentral:lncRNA from 1 species
AAAGAGGCUGCAGAUUCUUGGUGGACAGCUCUCAUAUCCCCUCCAGGGAAAAUGAUGAAAAAUGUCUUCAGAAAAAUAGCUUUAUGAAGGCAAGAGGACUUUUUGCACCUGCAAGACAUGUCUGAAAGCUCCACAGGUCAAAACACAAGUAGUCAAGAGAUUUGUCCAUCUAAUUCAUCAUACUACUCUGAUCCAAGUGAGACCCACACUGGGUCAGCUCCAUCAAGGAGAAGAACAUUCCACCCACGUUUGGAUUCUGGAAUAUCAUCCUUGCUUCCAUCAGAUUCUUGUAAGUACCUCACUUGGCACAAGAUAGAACAACAUGGCGUUCAAGAAAGUCAACUGCGUUGCCCAAGAGUAAGAGAAGGACCCUCUGAAGAAGAGCAACUUUUCAGACAGGUAGAGUGUGCCUUGCUCCCAAGGAAAAGAGUUCUUGAAAAAAACAAAUGGGAAACAUGGCUACAAGAAAACUGGGAAGACUGCAAGAAUUUGAACAUUUCAUUUCAGGAUUUGGGGGAUCCUUACCAGGUUGAAAAUUUUAACAGAAUUCUUAGAAGACUAAUUCGAGUUGAAACCCCCUGGUUAGUGGAUAAUUCACUGGUGGACUUAAGUGCCAUAAGAUUGCCAAGAGUAUUCUCCUGUUUGCCAAACUUAAAAAUGCUGGAUGGAAUCUUGAAGCUACCAGAAGAUUGCUUAUCACCAGAAACCAAUAUUUUUUCAAAAAUAUGCCUUGUAUCCUAAUGCAGUCUGUAUAGAAAGAAAGCAAUCAUCAUUUUUGCUAAAAGCUAAUAAACACAGGACAUGCAUGAUUAAAUAUUGCAGUUUAUUUUAUAUCUUUUUGCUUUUC